AAACCACUUUUUUUAAAAAAAGAAUUAAGUUUGUUUUAUUUAAAAUAAAAUCUUUAUUUUUUCAAUUUGAUUUGAAAUAAAAAACUGCAAAGGAAAGUUUAUUUAAAAUUAAAAAGUAAUUCAAGUUUACCUUUUGCAUAAGGGAUUUUUUAAAAAAAAUAAAUUUUUAUUUUUCUCGAAAUUAGAUGAUCUAUUUUAUAUUUUUAAUCAUUUAUGUUUCAAAAUAAAAAUUAAUAUUAUAAUAGAAGUGAAAUUCUUAUCAAAGCUAAUGAUAGCUAGUUAUAAAAAUCAACUUUAUGUUUUCUUAUUUUAAAUUUUUUUUAAUUUAAAAAAAAAUAAGAGACGAAUUAGGGGGAUAAGCUCUAAUUUUUUUUUAAAAAAAAUAAGAAAAUAGUUGAAGGAGAAUUGAAAUUUUUCUUAAAUUUGUUAUAAAUAAUUAAUUAUUUUUAAUAAAAAGUUAAAUAUUUUAAAUUUUUGUAAAAAAAUUUACGAUACAAAUAAAUAUGAAAAUAUUAGUAAAAUUAAAUAAGAUAUUUUUUAAAGUUAAUUUAAAUAUAAAAUUUUAAGAAAAAUAAUUUCAAAGAACUAGGCAAAAAAAUUUUUUGACUGUUUAUUAAAAACAUUGCAUUUAGUUUUAAAUAAAUGUAAAUCCUGCUCAAUGAAUAAAUUAAAUUGCUGUAGUAUUUUGACUAUACAAAGGUAUUGAAAUAAGACUUUAAUUGAGCGCUAAGAGAAUGGAAUUUCAAAAAAAAUCUUUUUUGAAAUUAAUUAAUUAAAGUUAUUUUUAUUUGUGAAGAAACAAUAAUAGAAAUUAAGGACAAGAAGACCCUAAGAAUUUUAGGGAUUAUUCCUUAAGUAAAUGGAAUAAAUCCAUUUAAUUGGGGCGAUUAUAAAAAAUAAUUAACUUUUACAAAAAAAAAAGAUCCAUUAAUAAUGAUCAUUUGGUAAAAUACUCUAGGGAUAACAGCGUAAUAAUUUUAGAUAGUUCGUAUAGAAAAAAUAGUUUGCGACCUCGAUGUUGGAUUAGGAUACUAAUUUAACGAAGAAGUUAAAUUAAGAAGUUUGUUCAACUUUUAAUAUCCUACAUGAUCUGAGUUUAGACCGAUGAGAAUCAGGUUGGUUUCUAUCCUAAUUUAUAAAAAGUUUUAACUAGUACGAAAGGAAUUUUAAAACUAAUUAAAAAUUAAUUAAUCUAACAGUUUUUGCAUCAAUUUUUGGACUU
rnacentral:rRNA from 1 species